rnacentral:rRNA from 1 species
CCCGCACAAGCGGAGGAACAUGUGGUUUAAUUCGAUGAUACGCGAGGAACCUUACCUGGGCUUAAAUGUAGAGUGCAUUGAGAGGAAACUUUCAUUUUCUUCGGAACUCUUUACAAGGUGCUGCAUGGUUGUCGUCAGCUCGUGCCGUGAGGUGUCGGGUUAAGUCCCAUAACGAGCGCAACCCUUAUCGUUAGUUGCCAGCGGGUAAUGCCGGGAACUCUAGCGAAACUGCCGGUGUAAACCGAGAGGAAGGUGGGGAUGACGUCAAAUCAGCACGGCCCUUAUGUCCAGGGCUACACACGUGUUACAAUGGCCGGUACAGAGGGCAGCUACCUGUUGACAGGAUGCUAAUCUCGAAAACCGGUCUCAGUUCGGAUCGAAGUCUGCAACUCGACUUCGUGAAGCUGGAUUCGCUAGUAAUCGCGCAUCAGCCAUGGCGCGGUGAAUACGUUCCCGGGCCUU